ensembl:lncRNA
GCAUAGGCUGGGACCUGACCAAGUCUCCCUGCUGAACAGAACUCUGGAGUCCAGAAGAACAAUACAUCCAUUCGAGAAAAUGUGGAAACUCCAGAAAAAGCACAGAGGAGAGGGGAACCAACCUUGAGCUCCCCACCACCUUUCCAGUCUUUUCGCAGACAGCCCUGGGGCUCCAGGGCAGCGGGAGCACGGUAGCUGGAAACUGGUGAAACUGGUGAAACUCUGUGGUUUCUGGCAGAUGGAUCAAGCCCACUUGGACCUGGCUCCUCUGUCCAUGACAUUUUCCAGGCAAGAAUACUAGAGUGAGUAGCCAUUCCCUUCUCCAGUGGAUCUUCCCGACCCAGGGAUCGAACCCAUGUCUCCUGCAUUGGCAGGCGUGUUCUUUACUGCGGAGACAAUACUCACCAACACCUAACUGAAUGAUUGAUCCUUGGCUUCUAGGACCUUCAGAACACGGGCUCAGAACGCUGACUCAGUAGUUGUGGUGCACAGGCUUACGUGCUCGGAGGCAUGUGGGAUCUUCGUGGGACCAAGGAUCGAACCAGUGUUCCCUGCAAGGCGGACUCUUUAAUCACUGGAACGCUAGGAAAGCCCCUUCAUGAUGUCUUUUGAUGAGAAGUUCUUAAUGUAGUCCAAUUUAUCAACUUCUUUCCUUUAUAAUGUUCAGCACCUUUCAUACUUAUUUUUUAAAAAGACCUUCAAAAAAAUGAAAAAAUGAAUGCCCUGGCAGUCCAGUGUUUAGGACUUGGUGCUUUUCUGGCUGUGGCCCAAGUUCAAUCCCUGUUUGGUAAACUAAGGUCCCAUAAACUGCAUACCACAGCCAAGAAAUGGACAAAAACUUUACAUGUUCUGAGGUUAUAAGCCCGUUUCCUUCUAUAAGUUUUAUUAUUUUACCUUUCACAUUAAGCUCUUCAAUUUACCUGGAAUUGAUUUUUUUUUUUUUGUAUGGUGUGAGGUUUGUUUUUCACCCUUACAGGGAGCCAUUGUCCCAGGGCCAGUGGUGGAAAAGACCAUCCUUUCUCUGCUUCAAGGCAUUGUCUGAUA